rnacentral:tRNA from 1 species
AAGGCUUUAAGUUAACUAAACUAAUAGUCUUCAAAAUUAUAAAUAAAGAAUUAUCUUUAAGCCUUA